CAGCCGCCGCGGUAAUACGGAGGGGGCUAGCGUUGUUCGGAAUUACUGGGCGUAAAGCGCACGUAGGCGGCUUGGUAAGUUAGAGGUGAAAGCCUGGAGCUCAACUCCAGAAUUGCCUUUAAGACUGCCGAGCUAGCAGGUGAGAGAGGUAAGUGGAAUUCCGAGUGUAGAGGUGAAAUUCGUAGAUAUUCGGAAGAACACCAGUGGCGAAGGCGGCUCACUGGCUCAUACUGGACGCUGAGGUGCGAAAGCGUGGGGAGCAAACAGGAUUAGAUACCCGCGUAGUCCCUGUCUCUUAUAA
rnacentral:rRNA from 1 species